CCAAUAGCGUAUAUUAAAGUUGUUGCAGUUAAAAAGCUCGUAGUUGAAUUUCGGGAUCAAUUUAUUGGUCGUGCUAUUGUACGUACUGGUAUUAUUGAUUCCUACCUUCUGACGAACCAUGAUGUCAUUAAUUUGGUGUCAUGGGGAAUCAGGACUGUUACUUUGAAAAAAUUAGAGUGUUUAAAGCAGGCUCACGCUUGAAUACAUUAGCAUGGAAUAACGAAAUAGGACGUUUGAUUCUAUCUUGUUGGUUUCUAGGAUCGACGUAAUGAUUAAUAGGGAUAGUUGGGGGCAUUAGUAUUCAAUUGUCAGAGGUGAAAUUCUUGGAUUUAUUGAAGACUAACUACUGCGAAAGCAUUUGCCAAGGAUGUUUUCAUUAAUCAAGAACGAAAGUUAGGGGAUCGAAGACGAUCAGAUACCGUCGUAGUCUUAACCAUAAACUAUGCCGACUAGGGAUCGGAUGAUGUUAAUUUUUUAAUGACUCAUUCGGCGCCUUACG
rnacentral:rRNA from 1 species